GCUGGUUCUGGAUGAGUGGCGAACGGGUGAGUAACACGUGAGUAACCUGCCCCCUUCUUCUGGAUAACCGCAUGAAAGUGUGGCUAAUACGGGAUAUUCUGGGUCUGUCGCAUGACGGGCCCGGGAAAGAUAUUGCUUCGGUGGGGGAUGGGCUCGCGGCCUAUCAGCUUGUUGGUGGGGUGAUGGCCUACCAAGGCGGUGACGGGUAGCCGGCCUGAGAGGGUGGACGGUCACACUGGGACUGAGACACGGCCCAGACUCCUACGGGAGGCAGCAGUGGGGAAUAUUGCACAAUGGGCGCAAGCCUGAUGCAGCGACGCCGCGUGAGGGAUGGAGGCCUUCGGGUUGUAAACCUCUUUCGCCAGUGAAGCAGGCCUGCUCCUUGUGGGUGGGUUGACGGUAGCUGGAUAAGAAGCGCCGGCUAACUACGUGCCAGCAGCCGCGGUAAUACGUAGGGCGCGAGCGUUGUCCGGAAUUAUUGGGCGUAAAGAGCUCGUAGGCGGCUGGUCGCGUCUGUCGUGAAAUCCUCUGGCUUAACUGGGGGCUUGCGGUGGGUACGGGCCGGCUUGAGUGCGGUAGGGGAGACUGGAACUCCUGGUGUAGCGGUGGAAUGCGCAGAUAUCAGGAAGAACACCGGUGG
rnacentral:rRNA from 1 species